ensembl:lncRNA
CUCAGCAGCACUCUUAUAGGCAGCGUCAGGAGGAGGGCAGUGCUGGGAUCGCAGAUAGCGCUGCUCCACAAACAGCCCCGUGCAAAGUGCUGCAGGAGCCGCUGUGCUGAGCCACUGCUGGGUUGCGCCAGGGGAGGGCCAGGUUGGAUCCUCUCCAAAAAAGUGGCCACGUGCUGCCCUGUGGGAGCCCCCGAGCCAAGAGAGCACGCUAUCACCAACAGACACGCAGGGUGAGGCCGAAGGCUGCACAGAAACCCGUUCCUGUAAACACACCGCGUUCCGGGCACUGCAGAGAACAAAACUGAGGGCGCAGGGAGGCAGAGAGCCUCAGCUCUGCACCACGAGCAGCAGCUCCCCCAGCGCCAUGCCCUGCAGCCCCCGAUCACUCCCUCCUCACCAGGCUGUGUGUCCCGGCCCCCAUCACCCCCACCCCUGCUCGGUGCUGUGCUGAGGAAGAAGAGCUGAGGGAGAGCUGCCAGAGCCCCACAUGUGGAGUGUCACAGGAGGAGGUGCAGAGCUGGCAUGGAGAGAAGGAGCUGUUUGUUUCCACUGCAUACAGGAGAGCUCUUGUGCAUCCUCAUUGUUCCCUGUACAUCACAGCCCCAUCCGACGGCCCCACUCCUCCUCCUCUCUGGACCCAGGGCUGCUGGGGCACAGCUGGGAGCAGCUUUGCGGAUGGGCCCUGAGUGCUGCUGUGCUCUGAGGGGAACGGGAGCAGCUGUGCCCUUUGGGCAAAGGCUGAGGGUGUCCGGGCUGCGCUGGGAUGGCACUGCCAGCAGUGGAACGACUGGGAUCUGCCCUCUGCUCAGCAAUGGUGCGGCUGCACAGACAGCACUGCGGGCAGCUCUGGGCCCCCCGCACAGGAGAGCCCGGGACACACUGGGGAGAGUGCAGCACAGGGCCACCGAGCUGCUGCAGCACCUGGGGCGGCUCUGCUGGAGGGACUGAGGUCACGGAACCUCCUCUUCUCUGCUCCUGGACUGGGGAAGUGUGGAUGGACGGCUGACCCAGGGCAGUGAUGUUUAUCUCCCUCUGGGUCAGUGCAAGCAAAACAGCUGCUAUGGAUCACUGUCUCACACAGAACAACGACGGGAGUAGGCAAAAGGAAUGCGGAGCUGCCAUAGAGACCGCUGUGCCGGGUGCCGUGAGACAAGCUGCAAGCAACUGCAAGUCAUGAGAAGCGUGCCUUGUGUACUUAGCAUGUUAUUUGUACCGCUCUAUAUAAGCGACUGCGUGCAGUUAUUACACGGCUUGGCUGCUAGAAACCACAACGGUGUGUGGCCUCGUCCACGCCGCGCCUCGGCUGAAUAUUGCUCUCCAGAGGACUCUGAACAGUCACUCGGUGACAAGUGGUGCCCAAACGGGGACUUUGGAGUAAGAACGAUCAGAAAAGGACCUUGGAGUAAGAGGGAGACGAGGCAGCGGUCGCAGAGGGUUGGCACCGGACAAGCAACAGUGCUGUAAGUGUCACGGUAGCUGGAAGCGGGGUCCCUCCCUGCCCUCUGCCCCCACGAUAGAGUGGGAAG